rnacentral:rRNA from 1 species
UACGUAGGGUGCGAGCGUUGUCCGGAAUUAUUGGGCGUAAAGAGCUUGUAGGCGGUUUGUCGCGUCUGCCGUGAAAACUCGGGGCUUAACCCCGAGCCUGCAGUGGAUACGGGCAGACUAGAGGUAGGUAGGGGAGAAUGGAAUUCCCGGUGUAGCGGUGAAAUGCGCAGAUAUCGGGAGGAACACCGGUGGCGAAGGCGGUUCUCUGGGCCUUACCUGACGCUGAGGAGCGAAAGCGUGGGGAGCGAACAGG